UUGCAGUCGCGAUAAGGCUCUAUAUCAAAUGCAAGGAUUAUUAUUGUUGUUUCUAGCGUCGCCCCCGCGGUGAUCGGCCCAGAGUCAGACUAAUGUUUGGACAUAAAUGUAAUUCUGCAUUUUAGGUUUUCUUCAGCUCCACACUCAUCUCUGACAAUGGUUGCAUCAGCUCAGUUGGCCAAAAGCACAGUUGGAGAGAGAGAGAGAAAGUUUGUUAAGGCAGGAGAGGAGCCAGGUGAAAGGAUUUCUGGAGAGUGGCUGAGAGCAUGGGAGUUGUGCCUGGAAAGCUGAGCUGCUGAUGGUGACACGGAUGAGGCAGAGCUGCACGAGUGUACGGCGUGGAAGGAGUUUGGGACAUCAACAUCUGGGUCGGACUCAUCUACCAAGUCAUCAAGGGCACAAAGGGCUUCCAUCAGAGUCAUCUCCUUGUGAUUGCAUGAGGCCCACUGGAUGUGCUGGGAAACAGAAACCUUGUUCUGAUUUGAUAUUAAACCAAGGUCCUGUUCAGGUUUAAGAGAACAAGAGCCAUCGGUGCCUCAGGUGAACAUGUGAUUGAGCAGGAGACAUUCAACUGAAGAAAGUUGAUUCUCAUUCAGGACUUGAUGUGUGACAGGCAAACCGUCAGAGCAGCAGUGAUCCUGGAGUUGAGGAUGAAGGCA